UGCAUUCACUACUGUAAGUCGCUCUUGGAUAAGAGUGUCUGCUAAAUGACUCAAA
rfam:Salmo salar isolate Sally breed double haploid chromosome ssa15, whole genome shotgun sequence.